rnacentral:rRNA from 1 species
GAUGAACGCUAGCGGCAGGCUUAAUACAUGCAAGUCGAGGGGCAGCAGGUCUGUAGCAAUACAGAUGCUGGCGACCGGCAAACGGGUGCGGAACACGUACGCAACUUACCGUUAAGAGGGAGAUAGCCCGGGGAAACCCGGAUUAAUACCCCAUACUAUCAUCAGGUGUCCUCACCCGGUGAUUAAAGUCUUGAAUAAAGACGCUUAACGAUGGGCGUGCGGCUGAUAGGUAGUUGGCAGGGUAACGGCCUACCAAGCCUAUGAUCAGUAACUGGUGUGAGAGCACGACCAGUCACACGGGCACUGAGACACGGGCCCGACUCCUACGGGAGGCAGCAGUAAGGAAUAUUGGUCAAUGGACGCAAGUCUGAACCAGCCAUGCCGCGUGAAGGAUGAAGGCCCUCUGGGUUGUAAACUUCUUUAUCCGGGACGAAACCACCUUUUCCAAAGGUGUUGACGGUACCGGAGGAAUAAGCACCGGCUAACUCCGUGCCAGCAGCCGCAGU